AGUGAACGCUGGCGGUAGGCCUAACACAUGCAAGUCGAACGGCAGCACAGUAAGAGCUUGCUCUUACGGGUGGCGAGUGGCGGACGGGUGAGGAAUACAUCGGAAUCUACUUUUUCGUGGGGGAUAACGUAGGGAAACUUACGCUAAUACCGCAUACGACCUACGGGUGAAAGCAGGGGAUCUUCGGACCUUGCGCGAUUGAAUGAGCCGAUGUCGGAUUAGCUAGUUGGCGGGGUAAAGGCCCACCAAGGCGACGAUCCGUAGCUGGUCUGAGAGGAUGCUCAGCCACACUGGAACUGGGACACGGUCCAGACUCCUACGGGAGGCAGCAGUGGGGAAUAUUGGACAAUGGGCGCAAGCCUGAUCCAGCCAUACCGCGUGGGUGAAGAAGGCCUUCGGGUUGUAAAGCCCUUUUGUUGGGAAAGAAAAGCAGCAGGUUAAUACCCCGCUGUUCUGACGGUACCCAAAGAAUAAGCACCGGCUAACUUCGUG
rnacentral:rRNA from 1 species